UUCGGAAGGGAUGUGUUUAUUAGAUAAAAAACCAAUGCCCUUCGGGGCUUUUUGGUGAUUCAUGAUAACUUUACGGAUCGCAUAGCCUUGCGCUGGCGACGGUUCAUUCAAAUUUCUGCCCUAUCAACUUUCGAUGGUAAGGUAUUGGCUUACCAUGGUUUCAACGGGUAACGGGGAAUUAGGGUUCGAUUCCGGAGAGGGAGCCUGAGAAACGGCUACCACAUCCAAGGAAGGCAGCAGGCGCGCAAAUUACCCAAUCCCGACACGGGGAGGUAGUGACAAUAAAUACUGAUACAGGGCUCUUUUGGGUCUUGUAAUUGGAAUGAGUACAAUUUAAACCUCUUAACGAGGAACAAUUGGAGGGCAAGUCUGGUGCCAGCAGCCGCGGUAAUUCCAGCUCCAAUAGCGUAUAUUAAAGUUGUUGCAGUUAAAAAGCUCGUAGUUGAAACUUGGGUCUGGCUGGCGGGUCCGCCUCACCGCGUGCACUCGUCCGGCCGGGCCUUCCUUCUGAAGAACCUCAUGCCCUUUACUGGGCGUGUUGGGGAAUCAGGACUUUUACUUUGAAAAAAUUAGAGUGUUCAAAGCAGGCCUUUGCUCGAAUACGUUAGCUGGAAUAAUAAAAUAGGGCGUGCGUUUCUAUUUUGUUGGUUUCUAGAGACGCCGCAAUGAUUAACAGGAACAGUCGGGGGCAUCAGUAUUCAGUUGUCAGAGGUGAAAUUCUUGGAUUUACUGAAGACUAACUACUGCGAAAGCAUUUGCCAAGGAUGUUUUCAUUAAUCAGUGAACGAAAGUUAGGGGAUCGAAGACGAUCAGAUACCGUCGUAGUCUUAACCGUAAACUAUGCCGACUAGGGAUCGGGCGAUGUUCUUUUUCUGACUCGCUCGGCACCUUACGAGAAAUCAAAGUUU
rnacentral:rRNA from 1 species